AAUUCUAUCUAUACCUGUUGGUUUCUAAGUGACAUUAGAAUAUAGGAUUUUACACAAUGAUUGCACCGAGAAUACCCUUUCCUGAUUCCCAGCCACCUCCAAGAGUCUUUGCAAUAUGAUUUCCCCAACUUGUCCAACGAGUACAAGCAAGGCAUCGAAUUCAUUAAGCUCCUUAGUCGAAGAAGGUGUGUGAUUCCAGUUCCAUACUAUUGAUGCUUCUUGCCCAAUCCAAUGCAAUCUCUCUUUGACCUAACAACUUUUUGUUUUCUCCGACCUGAAAAGAACUGGAAAUUUGGGUUGCAGUCCCCAAUCCAAUUGUCAAGCCAGACCAUAUGCCUGUCUCGUCCCCAAGGUUACCUUUAAUUUAGCAAAUUACUUGAACCUGUUGGUUUCUAAGUGACAAUUCCGAUUUAUUAAUGUUUGACCAAUCCCCCUCUACCCGCCCUGAUUUUAGUGGUCAAAAUUCAAAUUUUCUCAGGCUAUAAUGGAGAGCCUCCACCACACACGCCAAAUUCUAUUUUCUCCACCUUAAAUCUCCAAACCCAUUUAACCAAAAGACUUUUAUUAAAAUCACUCAUAUUCCCCAGCCCAAGUUAUAACAACCCUCGAAUAAAGCCAUAACAAUUCAUAAUCGAGACUCCAAACGCGUACUGGAAACCAGAACGAAAAACGAUGAAAUCAAAUUUUAAGUGACGUCACACUAUGCGACAAGGUUUGUAUAGGGUGGUCGCGUGACGCGGCGCUUCAAUCUUCGACAGGAGACACGUGCCACCACGUGGCAUGCCUACGUGGUGACUCAUGCCACCUAUGCCCUAGUCUAACCCAUUCGCACUGCGCAAAGGUGAACCAGAAACAUAAUUGGACAUUCAAACUCGUUCAUUCUCUGUUCUCUUUCUCUCAAAGUACUGUUGUUAUACCCGAAGCCCCCAAACCACUAAAACUCUGCUCGGUAAUCAGCAUGCUAACCCGGAUCACUAGUACGAUACCCUGUCCAAUUGAUCUGAAACCAAUUCAACGGAUGUUUAAGUACUACCUGAAUAAGGCUAUACUUUGUCAUUUACGUUGAGGUUUCGAUCUCAUGAUUAUCGUUAAAGUUUGAAUCGGGUUAAUACACUAAUACGUGUUGCAUUGUGUGCUUAAUUAGGAACCCAAGACUUACACCAGAAGGCUAUUACUGAAAACCCUAAAUCUACAAAGUGAGUUAUUCUCUUUUAUCAAAUGCUUUCAAAACCCUAAAGGUCUUCUAGUUGUAUUUAUAGUGAUUAAGUCUUUGUAUUCUUAAAUUACACAGCCGGUAUGUGGGGUUUUGUAUACAUUACUUGAUAAGCUUUGUAACAUCCGUCCAAAAAUGGAUAUUCAAAAUCCGACCCGUUUUGAAAUUCGAAUCCUAUCCUUGAACCAACGGAAUUUUUUUUCGCGAAAUGGAUAAUCGAUGAAAGAUUUUUAUCCUAAUCUAAUUCGGUUACAAAUGCGGUUAUCUAUUUCUUCGUUUAACUAAUUAAAUUAAUAUAUUUCCAAUAUAUAUAUAUAUAUAAAUAUAUAGUUAUUUAUGUAACAAGUUAGUUAAUAAUUAAAUCAAUUGUUUGAAAUAUAAAGUUUGGUAUAAACUAGUUAACCAAGUUAGAAUUCUAACCCCGUUAGCGUCGGUUAGUAUAAACAUGUAAGUUAAGGAAUUUAAUUGAAAAUUUUGGGAAACUUUAGUUUAAAAACAAAAGGCUCAAUACAAAGGACCCUUCACUCUAAAGAGAAUUUUAUAACCAUCAAUAUACUAUACUGUGGAAGAUGCCUUCGUUUGAAAAGUAUAAUCAUAUUACCACCUUUUGUUAUACACCUUCUUAAUCAAAAUAAUGUGGUUUCUAACUUUCUCAGUGAAUCCGUCACAUUACUAGCUUCCUACAUGCACCACUCAAACAAAUAAAUAAGACUUAAAAAUCUAGUUUCUUUUCAAACACAUUCGACCGCCAAAAACAAACCGCGUUGACUGCUCCUCCAUUCUUCACUUCGACAGCUAAGAUACGACAGUCGGACUUACCAUAUCUCGAUUCAAUUAAGGCCUAAUUGAUUCCCUGAUUUCUUUCACUCGACCAAUUAACGAGAGUUUCCAACUCUCGGUCAACUUUCCAAACCACCGAAGACCCAUUCGACACCUAUAAAUAUCGACCCACACCUUCACAUGAACCGGCAUCAUUCUUCCCGAUUCACCCAAUACAUCUUUCACCCUUUCUGUUCGAACACCACACUCACAAACACUCUCUGUUCAAUUAACAAACUCGCCGGUUAAACGGAGCUUGCCGGAGAAAGAUAGACGUCGCCGGAGAUCGAGAAGACGACCGGAGUUCGACGGAACUCCACUCCGUCCCUGUUGCGGUAUACCAUCCUCCCAACCUUUCAUUUCAUUUGUUUUAGUUUGACGUUUAUAAACUGUUGUCAUCGGACAUCACUCGAAACCCCGCUCCCUUUAAAGACGUUACCGGAGAGGACCUGCAAGUGGCCGGAGCUCGCAUCGAUACCGGGAUCCACCGGAGUUUACGACAGAAACCGUUUCGUCACUGUUUCGGGUAAUCAUUCAUUCUCUUGAAUUUCCCAAUCUUACUCGUACAAGAAAGCGCAACGCAAUCAAUGUUGAUAUCAAGAUUCAAGAAAACAAGCUAGGAUGGCAUUAGAAACCCAUUUUAGCAAUUAAUUAAUGUUUGGAUUUGUUUGAAUAUUCGAGACUUUGUAUUACUUUUCUAGUUUUAAUAAAAUGAUUUAAUUCAUAUUGUCACAAUUAGUGUUAUGUUGUUUUGAGCAAUUUGUUCGUCUCAUCCCGAUGUUUCCGCCAUCGGUUGGGGUGUGACAAGCUUUACUAUUAGACAAAGGGUUAGCCAAUAGUAAUAUGACCACAGUCACCGAAAUGGGCGAGUGACAAGUACUGUGGAUGAUUGAAAGAUAUAAACAAAUACAAAAAGUGCAGAGUAUUCCUCUGCCAUAGCCUUGCGCCAAUGAGAUUCUUUGUUGGCAACGGAAAAUGAGGUAUCUUAAAUGUCAAGCGGGGUGGCGGAGGUGUGAAAGGAGGCGAGAUUGUAAGAGUAGUUUUGUUUGGCAUUAGGUCUUAGGUUUGGUAAGAAUGUACGUAGUUGAUGUGAGCAAAAUGCAACAUAUAAAUUACAUCAAUUGUGGCAUAAAACUAACCCUUUUUUAGUACUAGUGUUGGAAAAAGUGUGCUUUCGUCUUCCUUUUGUAUUUUCAGGAUUAAGUGAGCUCAA